rnacentral:rRNA from 1 species
AUGUCUAAGUCCAAGCUGUGUUCACACGGCGAGACCGCGGACGGCUCAUUAAAUCAGUCGUGGUCCAAAUGGGCCAGUGCAAAUCCUACUUGGAUAACUGUGGUAAUUCCAGAGCUAAUACAUGCAACUGAUAUCCCGAAGGCGUGGCUGUGCUUGCUUGUCUUGCGCUUUCAUUGCUCUGACGGAUGCUUUUAUUAGACCAAGCCGCUGAGGACUUGGGGGUUCGCUCUCUUGUUCGACUCGUGUUAUGGUGACUCUGGAUAACCAAUUCUGACAAGCGCACGUACUUCUCUUCUGAGCGAGACGGCGCUGCCACUUUCGAGUGUCUGCCUUAUCAGCUAUCAACCGUUCGUUAUGCGCGACCGAUGGCUUUGACGGGUAACGGGGAAUCAGGGUUCGAUUCCGGAGAGGCAGCCUGAGAGACGGCUACCACGUCCAAGGACGGCAGCAGGCACGCAAAUUACCCAAUCCCAGCAAAUGGGGGAGGUAGUGACGAAAUCUAACGAUGCGGGCGCCCUUUCUGGGGCCCCGCAAUCGGAAUGGGCACUUUCUAAACAACCUGUUGAGAACCUACUGAAGGGCAAGUCUGGUGCCAGCAGCCGCGGUAAUUCCAGCUUCAGCAGCAUCUAUUAAAGUUGCUGCGGUUAAAAGGCUCGCAGUUGAAUGUCUGUAUCGAGCGCAGGUCAGGUGGACGUUGGGGCGUGGAAGUACGGGCUGUUGGAUGUUCGGAGGGCUUCGUGCUCGACGGCUCCUUCGGCUUUUCCACACACCCCCGUCCGUAACAAGCCUCCUCGCUCGGGUACAUAACGGGAAUCGGUCAAACGGAGUGUGGUCUUGCUUUUGGAGGUUAACGCUUUCAGGAGUGUGGCUACGUUAAGCUCCAUCGGUUUCACGGUCACCUUGAGUAAAUCAGAGUGCUCAAAGCAGUCGUAGGGGCCUUGCGCCCUGUGAACAGUCUUGACGGACUGACUUGGUUUUGCAUGGCAUGUCGGAAGACGACGUCGUGUGCUGGCUCAGAGGAUAAAUCAGUGGUACAAGCCAGCCUCGACGUAAUGAUUAAAAGGGACGGUCGAGGGCAUUGGUAUUGCGAGGCGAGAGGUGAAAUUCUGUGACCCCCGCAAGACCUCCUGAAGCGAAAGCGUCUGCCAAGGACGUUUUCAUUAAUCAUGAACGAAAGUUAGAGGAUCGAAGGCGAUCAGAUACCGCCCUAGUUCUAACCCUAAACGAUGCCAACCAUCAAUCCGCGCGUAGCACCCUUCUUAACGGGCUCGGCGGGCAGCUCCCCACUCACGGGAAACCAGAGCCUCUGGGUUCCGGGGGGAGUCUGGUUGCAAAGCUGAAACUUAAAGGAAUUGACGGAAAGGCACCACCAGGCGUGGAGCCUGCGGCUUAAUUUGACUCAACACGGGCCAUCUCACCAGGCCAGCACUCUUGUACGAUUGACAGAUUGAGAGCUCUUUCUCGAUUCAGUGGAUGGUGGUGCAUGGCCGUUCUUAGUUGGUGGAGUGAUCUGUCUGGUUAAUUCCGAUAACGAACGAGACUCUCCCCUGCUAACUAGUCGGUUGGAUCUUGAUCAGCGGGUUGCGUGCUGAGUAACUCUCGCUGCGUGUGAUGUGCGUUUCGUGCUUAACGGUGCGUUGCGUCUUGCGCGUAGUGUUGGAUGCCUUGGAUCACACUGCACCCCAAGUCCGCCGCUUAUGCUAUAACUCUUCUUAGAGGGAUUCACGGCACUGAAGCCGUAAGAGACUGAGAGCAAUAACAGGUCUGUGAUGCCCUUAGAUGCUCUGGGCCGCACGCGCGCUACAAUGCCGGGCACAGCAGGUGUUUCUCCUGCUCCGACAGGAGCGGGUAACCCUCUGAAAGCCAGUGUUCUUGCAAGUACUUCCUCCCUCGUGGAGUUGUACAAAGGCGUGCUUGGGCCUGGGACUUGCAAUUCUUUCCCACCAACGAGGAAUGCCUAGUAGCGGCGGGUCACUGAGCCCGCUGUGACUCAGUCCCUGCCCUUUGUACACACCGCCCGUCGCUACUACCGAUUGGGUGUACCAGUGAGAGCCUUGGACUGGCGUCCGUUGUUAUUCGCAAGAGUGACAAGCGGGUCCGACGGAAAGAGGUCCGAACUGGUGCACUUAGAGGAAGUAAAAGUCGUAACAAGGUUUCCGUAGGUGAACCUGCGGAAGGAUCAUUAAAAGGAUUAUUAAAACCCAAGCACUCUCCCUAUCGGGUUGUGGAUGAUGUAGUCCACACAAACACUUUUUGCUCACACUGACUAUGAGUUUGGUCAGCAGAGAAUGCUAUUGCGAACCAUCGUGGCACACACUUUUACACAGAGUUUUACACCGGAGGAUCACACAGCACGUGAUUGAUCUUGUGAUGGUAUAUACUCUUGUAUUCGUGCCGAUGUAAAAUAAACAAAGCUUAGUCUAAGUCGAUCGAAACUCAUCACUGGCCUAGUGCUGCGACCUUAAAAAGUCAAAGCCUUGGUACGGGUACUCGGUUCCAUGUGGAGCUGAGCCCUU